UACGUAGGUGGCAAGCGUUGUCCGGAAUUAUUGGGCGUAAAGCGCGCGCAGGCGGCCCGCGAGGUGUCACGUGAAAGCCCCGGGCUCAACUCGGGAGGGUCGUGGCAAACCGGCGGGCUUGAGGCCGGUAGAGGUGGGUGGAACUCCUGGUGGAGUGGUGAAAUGCGUAGAGAUCAGGAAGAACACCCGUGGCGAAGGCGGCCCACUGGGCCGGUACUGACGCUGAGGCGCGAAGGCGUGGGGAGCGAACGGG
rnacentral:rRNA from 1 species